AUCCGUUUGAUAAGUCCCAAAUAGGACGAAACGCGCGUCCUGGAU
rfam:Schistosoma mattheei strain Denwood, Zambia genome assembly, scaffold: SMTD_scaffold0000212